GCAGCCUGUAGCAUAUAUUAAACUUAAAUCUUUAAAUAAGUGAUUAAUAUGCAUGUUAGACUCAACAAAUUUCUGUUAUUUUUGAAUUAAAAUUAAUAAUGAAAUAAAUAAAACAUGCCUUUUUAUCAAAUAGAGGUUGGGCUUGACUGCUGGAGAUAGCGGAGUUGUGUGUUGUUGAUCUGGAGUGCAUAUCUUUAUUUUGAAUGCAGAAGCUUUUGAGUCUCGGUGCACGAGACAUUUUGCAACAGAGUUGCUGAAGAGGUAUUUCAAUGCGGAACAAUCUUUAAUUUCUAAGAGGCCAAGAUUAGAGAACGACUUCAAAUGUUGAAUCUCACCGCAUGAUAUCCUUGCUACAUACUCAAUAGUGUUACAAUUUUCGAUGUACAAGUCUUUUAGAUCCGUAAAUGCUUCCCUGUUGCUGUUGUAUAUGCUACCCACAUCAAUAUCGGUGCAAUCCAAUAACACAUAUUCAGCCCUCUCAA